GUCAAACGCAAGACAGGAUAACUUUUUGUCUAGUUUGUCUUGUCUCUUGUCCCAUAUUGUCUGGUCCAUUGCACCGCUUGAGCCCUUAUAUACCCCUGCAUGUUGACUGUUUUUCUCACUCUCAUUGUCUCUUUAUUUUUGAAUCCUAAAUCUCAAUUCUUUCAUGUGAUGAUGUUUUAAGUUGGUUAAAUUUUCACUGAAG
rnacentral:misc_RNA from 1 species